rnacentral:tmRNA from 1 species
GGGGUCGUAUAGGAUUCGACGGAGAUGUGCAGGGCUUUAUCUGCAGCGGUUGGUAACCAUAAACCAAAAAAAGAAUAACUGACAACAGUUAUAUGAGAGCUCCUAGAGCUCAAUCACUCUGCUUAGCUUAAUUAACCCGACAUAGGGUCCCGGCAAUCGCUGGGGCAGAGCGCCCUUUAAGGUUUUAGCCUUUCACGCUUAAAGUAGGUGUCAUAACAAAAGGAUUGUGGCUUGGAGUUGAUUAGUUACUGAGUCAUGAAAUAUUGUUAGUCUCGCGUGAUGUAGUGAGUCAAUAUACGAAAUCACGUUAAACAUAAAUAUUGUCUAAGCUGUAGGCGAUAUUGUUUGGCCAUCUUCGGACGUGGUUUCGAUACCACCGGCUCCACCA